rnacentral:miRNA from 1 species
AACUCACAUUAGGCAACCUGCU